rnacentral:rRNA from 1 species
GGUGGCUUCGGCCACCGGAGAGCGGCGAACGGGUGAGAACACGUGGGUGAUCUGCCUGGGAGCGGGGGAUAACCUGGGGAAACUCGGGCUAAUACCGCAUACGUUGAUCGGGUUGCGGCCUGGUCAAGAAAGCUGGCCUCUAUUUAUAAGCUAGCGCUCCUAGAGGAGCCCGCGGCUGAUUAGCUAGUUGGUAGGGUAAUGGCCUACCAAGGCGACGAUCAGUAGCCGGCCUGAGAGGGUGAUCGGCCACACUGGGACUGAGACACGGCCCAGACUCCUACGGGAGGCAGCAGUGGGGAAUAUUGGACAAUGGGCGCAAGCCUGAUCCAGCAACGCCGCGUGGAGGACGAAGGUCUUCGGAUCGUAAACUCCUGUCAGGCGGGACGAAGGCUUCCGGGCAAACAGUCCGGAAGCUUGACGGUACUGCCAGAGGAAGCCCCGGCUAACUCCGUGCCAGCAGCCGCGGUAACACGGAGGGGGCUAGCGUUAUUCGGAAUUAUUGGGCGUAAAGGGCGCGUAGGCGGCCCGGUAAGUCAAAGGUGAAAUCCCUCGGCUCAACUGAGGAACUGCCUUUGAAACUGUCGGGCUUGAGGCCGGGAGGGGGUAGCGGAAUUCCCAGUGUAGCGGUGAAAUGCGUAGAUAUUGGGAGGAACACCGGUGGCGAAGGCGGCUACCUGGACCGGUUCUGACGCUGAUGCGCGAAAGCGUGGGUAGCAAACAGGAUUAGAUACCCUGGUAGUCCACGCUGUAAACGAUGGGUGCUCGGUGUCGCGGGUAUCGACCCCUGCGGUGCCUUAG